ACGAACGCUGGCGGCGUGCUUCACACAUGCAAGUCGAACGGAAAGGCCCUGCUUUUGUGGGGUGCUCGAGUGGCGAACGGGUGAGUAACACGUGAGUAACCUGCCCUUGACUUUGGGAUAACUUCAGGAAACUGGGGCUAAUACCGGAUAGGAGCUCCUGCUGCAUGGUGGGGGUUGGAAAGUUUCGGCGGUUGGGGAUGGACUCGCGGCUUAUCAGCUUGUUGGUGGGGUAGUGGCUUACCAAGGCUUUGACGGGUAGCCGGCCUGAGAGGGUGACCGGCCACAUUGGGACUGAGAUACGGCCCAGACUCCUACGGGAGGCAGCAGUGGGGAAUAUUGCACAAUGGGCGGAAGCCUGAUGCAGCAACGCCGCGUGCGGGAUGACGGCCUUCGGGUUGUAAACCGCUUUCGCCUGUGACGAAGCGUGAGUGACGGUAAUGGGUAAAGAAGCGCCGGCUAACUACGUG
rnacentral:rRNA from 1 species